rnacentral:rRNA from 1 species
UAGGGAAUCUUCGGCAAUGGGGGCAACCCUGACCGAGCAACGCCGCGUGAGUGAAGAAGGUUUUCGGAUCGUAAAGCUCUGUUGUAAGAGAAGAACGAGUGUGAGAGUGGAAAGUUCACACUGUGACGGUAACUUACCAGAAAGGGACGGCUAACUACGUGCCAGCAGCCGCGGUAAUACGUAGGUCCCGAGCGUUAUCCGGAUUUAUUGGGCGUAAAGCGAGCGCAGGCGGUUAGAUAAGUCUGAAGUUAAAGGCUGUGGCUUAACCAUAGUACGCUUUGGAAACUGUUUAACUUGAGUGCAGAAGGGGAGAGUGGAAUUCCAUGUGUAGCGGUGAAAUGCGUAGAUAUAUGGAGGAACACCAGUGGCGAAAGCGGCUCUCUGGUCUGUAACUGACGCUGAGGCUCGAAAGCGUGGGGAGCAAACAGGAUUAGAUACCCUGGUAGUCCACGCCGUAACGAUGAGUGCUAGGUGUUGGGUCCUUUCCGGGACUCAGUGCCGCAGCUAACGCAUUAAGGCACUCCGCCUGNNNAGUACGACCGCAAGGUUG